UCAUCCUGUUGAUAAUUAUCAUAAUUCAAAUUAUCACGAAAUGCAUCAUUCACCAUUUCCACAUAUCUAUCUUCUACUAAAUUACCAACUUCUUCACUACCACUUAAAUGUGUCGGAUCAACAUAACUCGUUCCUAAUCCCAUGUCGAUUUCUUCUCCAUGGUUGUACCAAACAUAAUAAUCUUCCAUAAAUCCUCUACUAUAUAUAUGUUCCAAGAUUUUCUGCCCCGAGAGAAAUUUUUCGUUUCUGCAAAUACUACAAGGGCAAAAGAACUUACCACCAUUGCUCUGCGUUAAUUCCUGACUAUUUGCAAACGUCAUGAAUUCUUCU
rnacentral:lncRNA from 1 species